CAUCGUGAGGUGGAAUCUGAAGGAAGCCGGAUAUGGGGAACCUACUAACCCAUGGGCAAAACUCCGGUCUGACGGACAGAAACCACAUAGGAGGCCAUGCAUGGGGGUAAGACUGCCGUACAAGUCAAAGCCCGGUAGCUACACGGAACCAUGUAUGGUAAAUGUGGCAGAUAGAUGGAGUGAAAGAAUGU
rnacentral:ncRNA from 1 species